CCCCGCAGAGCUGCCCUAGUGGGUGAGAUGAAGAGCAUAAUAAGUAGUAACUUACAGAAAAUGCUAACAGUUGUUUGCAGUGAUGGUGCAGAAGAACCAGGUCAGAAGUCUGCUUUUCUAGGAUGGACUGAUACUGGCGGAGAGAACAGUAAGAAGUCUGCAACUCCUCUGUGCGAAACUCCAGUUCUUGUUGAAGGGCCAGCAAUUUUUUCUUCAGUUGCUGGAGUUGCCUCAGAUGACACUGUUUACUGGACCCAAAUUCCAUCUCUGACUCCUCGAAUGCUAAUGCCUGUGCUUGCUUCUUGUUCUACAAUAGAGACAGGAUAUACACAAAAGGCUUUAAAAGGUCAUCACUCAGGAUGUAUAUUCAUUCCAGGAUUGUUUUCAUUUGUUCAGUCAUUCACAUCCAUCUAUCCAUCUUUUUAUCUCUUCAUCUACAGAGAACUUAUUAAACAUUUCACUCUAUUCACAAGGAAACGUAUCACUUAGUAUUCCCACUCAGUAAGACGAAUUCAAUAGAAGAAAAAAAAUGGUUCCUAUCCACCAAAAUCUUAUUAUUUAGGUCAGAAGAAAAAAAUAUACACAUAAAGGACCUAGAGAGAUAUGUGUAAUAAUAUGCUCAGGUGUUGCCUUCCCAUAUAAAGAUAACACUAGUGACUUGGAAGGAAAUGGAUUUCUGGCCAUGGUUCUUGGACUAAACUUGGUAUUAAAAACACCUGGGUAAAGGAGCAUUGCAAUGAGUCAAUGGUGAGUUCUUGGGGAUUUUGAAAUGCUGAAAAAUGAGAGCCAGAGAUAUUGUUCAGGUACAUCUGGGCACUGACUCUGUCUCCUUCUCCUGAAGGAAGAUGUGACCUUGUAGAUGCUGACUCUGUGUGUGUGUGUGUGUGUGUGUGUGUGUGUGUGUGUGAUCUCUUCUUGCUAAUCCACAAUCUACCUGAAAUGCUGCUAGUCUUAUCCUACAUUUUCAUUCAUUCAUUCUUCAUUCAUUCAUUCACUCAAUAGACACAGGCUAAGCACCUAUGUUGUAUCAGGUAUUCUGCUGGUAGGACACAUCCCUGUGUUGCUGAUGCUUCUAUAUUUCCUAUACUUUCCAGCAUCCCUUAUGACAAUGACAUGUGAGGAAAAGGUGGAUAAAGAGGGUAGCCUGUGGGCAGUCCUUAGCAUCCAACCCUGCUUAUUCUCCUCCUACUCAUUCUUUAAGAUUCUGUUUAAAUCCUGCUCUCCUUCCUGUUUUUUCCCUGCAAAGUUGUCUUUGCACCAGUACCACAGACUUUGCUAGCAUGUCCUUAAUGUGGUAUUCUGUAUUCUGUCUGUAAUUAUUUCUGUGCAUUUUAACUUCUAAUUAGAUUAUAAACUCCUGGAGGGCAGGGCCAUGUCCGCUCUUAUAGGGCCUAGAUUAUAGAUUCAUACAUACCUAUGUAUUGAACGAAAGAAAUGAAAAUAGAGUCCAAGCAAUCUCAUUGGCUUCCAAGUGUUUGAGCCUGUGGCGUUGGCCUCAUUAACAGAGUACUUCUAAUACAGUGGCUUUCCAAUUUUUAAAUUAACUUUUUGAAAACAGAUUUAUUGAGGUAUACUUUGCAUAUCAUGAAAUGCAACCAUUGUUAAGUGUGCAAUUCAAUGACUUGUAAUAAACUUAUAGAAUUGUGUGACCAUCA